UUGAUUCGUUUUUAUGUGAGUGUUAAUGCAUUGAUUUGAAGACGCUAAGUAAUCACUUUGCUUUGAUUUUGUGUCGCAGUAUGAUUUUUGACAUCGUCCACGGCACAGCAACAGAUUAUUGUGGCGGCGGCUCGGCACUGAGUGAAUUCUAAAGGACACUAUUAAAAUAGAAUAAAAUUGUUCGUGCGAUGGGCAAGGGCAAAGGAACGAAUCAGAGUGGUGGCAAUCCCAACCAUGCACCACCAGAGAAAAGUGGGAAGGGAAACCAGGGCAAAGGCAAUCAAAAUAAAGGAGGCAGUGGAGGUAACAAAAGCAGUGGCGGAGGCGGAGGCGGAGGUGGAGGUGGAAAGAAAGGUGGCAAAAAAUGAUUCACAUUAAUCUCUGGCUCUGAUUUUGCUGGCAAUCCCGUGUUAUAUACAUAAGCGGAUUUUAAAAAAAUGCAUUAAACUGUUUCAAAAAUUUAUUAAUAAAACGAGUGUACCGAAGAAAAAAGCGGAAAUUCGUAAGCGUUUCUAUUUAAGAGGGAUCUCGAAUAAUGAAUGAAUGUGAGUGCCAAGCACAAGUAAAAAAAACUUGCUCUCACAAACUUUAUGAUAUGAAAUUAAUGAAUUGUAUAAGCAAA